CUAAACUAGAGAAGAUUAGAGGAAUGUGUAACCUCACAGAUAAUGAAUGGUUACUUCUAAAACCCCAAUCCAGUAAAUGCAAUGGAUGGUUAACUGGUAAUGUUUCACAUUUUUCAUGCUCAUGCUAUUUUACAUUAUAUCAUACAACAUCAAAGGAUGUUAAAUUAGCUUGUCAAUUUAACACAUUACCAGUACCAGUUUAUGAUCUUUUUGCCAAGAAUUUAACCUGGUGGGCACCCACAUACACAGGGGACUAUAUUUUUCCCAAAGAUAACAUACACAGGUAGCCACACAUAUCCUAAAAGGAGAACUCCUUAAGGUGAGUUCACAAAUUCAGAAUGAUUUAGCCCAUCAUUGGUACGAUGCUUCACUGGUUGGUCCCCUACUGGAUUCCAGAUAAUGAAAUCAUUCUUCUAUCAUUUUGUUAUUAUAGUCCUGAUUUUAUUGUGUAUGAUUUUAUAUAACUGUCACUUUACUUGUACAUUGAGGAAGAGAGUACAGAAAUUAAUCCAUAAUGCAGAACAGAAACAAUUAGAAAUUCUCCUCUCUGCCACUGUAGAGUAUCAACCCAUUUUUAAACUAGGCCUUAGGAAUUACCACAUGGGAAUCGAGGUGAAGAAAUUAAUGAAAGUCCCGCAGGGAGUGACUAGCACCCCUGAAAAUACCAUGUGGAAGUUUCUCUGUCCUGGUAAGAUUUUAUCGAUAAGAUGAGCAAUUGUUUUAUUGCUCAAAGAGGGGAAUGUAAGAAUAUUAAAUAGUUAACUUGUUUAUAUGUAUUUUAUGCUUUUAUAAGGUUUAUAACAUGAUUAUUGCUGACUGAAGGGAUAUUGAAUACUUAAAGUCAAUAUGCUGACUGUGACAGACUAAGGUAUUUCUUCUAUAGGAUGUAAGACAAUGCUAAAAUUUCAGGAUGUCUUGCCCAUUCCGAUUUCAGGAUAUUCUUUUCCAGACGUAUGCAAAAGCUUAUCUUUCCAUUGUCAGAAUAACGUAAUACAAGGAAGUAAUAAAUCUUAUAGUCUGUAC